UGGGUGGGGGGGCUUUGUGCGCGGCGGCAGCGGCGGCGGGAGCGGGCGGCGGCGGCCAGGACGGAGGCGGAGGCGGAGGGGGACUGUCCACUGGUAGCCGCGGAGAGGCGUACGAGACCGAGUCGAACCCCACGGACCAGGACCCUGCUGUCCCGGCCCGGCCGCCAGCCACGGGCUGGUCUCUGGCAGCUGCAGCUGCGCGGCGACCCCCAUCCCUUCGGCUCCCCAGCCCACCCCACCGCCCACAGUCUUCCUACUCUCGCUGCGCGCCCAGCCCAGCCUGGCCCGGCCGUGGCCCUCCUCGGUGCCGGCCGCCAUGGCAGAGGCGUCCGGCGCGGGGGAAAUCUAGCCCGGGGAUUUCAUGCGGCCUAGUUUGGUUCCGCCUCCUCCUCCCGCGGCCCCGGCGGCUGCCCGCACCCCAGCCCCACUCCGGGCCUCCGUGUCUCUCCUGUGAUCGUACUGACACGGCCGGGGGGUUAGAAUGGAACAAGCUGAAGGCCCGAUGAGAGAAAGGGAAAGUUAAGGAUGCUGGAGCAGAACAAUGGAUUUCUCUUUCUCUUUCAUGCAAGGGAUCAUGGGAAACACAAUUCAGCAACCACCUCAACUCAUUGACUCCGCCAACAUCCGUCAGGAGGAUGCCUUUGACAACAACAGUGACAUUGUUGAAGAUGGUGGCCAGACACCAUACGAAGCUACCUUGCAGCAAGGCUUUCAGUACCCACCUACAACAGAAGAUCUUCCUCCACUCACAAAUGGCUAUCCACCAUCAAUCAGCAUGUACGAAACUCAGACCAAAUACCAGUCAUAUAAUCAGUAUCCCAAUGGGUCAGCCAAUGGCUUUGGUGCAGUUAGAAACUUUAGCCCCACUGACUAUUACCAUUCAGAAAUUCCCAACACAAGACCACAUGAAAUUCUGGAAAAAUCUUCUCCUCCACAGCCACCUCCUCCUCCUUCGGUACCACAGACUGUGAUUCCAAAGAAGACUGGCUCACCUGAAAUUAAACUAAAAAUAACCAAAACUAUCCAGAAUGGCAGGGAAUUGUUUGAGUCUUCCCUUUGUGGAGACCUUUUAAAUGAAGUACAGGCAAGUGAGCACACAAAGUCAAAGCAUGAAAGCAGAAAAGAAAAGAGGAAAAAAAGCAACAAGCAUGACUCAUCUAGAUCUGAAGAGCGCAAGUCACACAAAAUUCCCAAAUUAGAACCAGAGGAACAAAGUAGACCAAAUGAGAGGGUUGACACUGUAUCAGAAAAACCACGGGAAGACCCAGCACUGAAAGAGGAGCCCCCGGUUCAGCCAGUAUUAUCUUCUGUUCCAACGACAGAAGCGUCCACUGGUGUUAAGUUCCAGGUUGGCGAUCUUGUUUGGUCUAAGGUGGGAACCUAUCCUUGGUGGCCUUGUAUGGUUUCAAGUGACCCCCAGCUGGAGGUCCACACCAAAAUUAACACAAGAGGUGCCCGGGAAUAUCACGUCCAAUUUUUUAGCAACCAGCCAGAGAGGGCGUGGGUUCAUGAGAAGCGGGUCCGAGAGUAUAAAGGUCAUAAACAGUAUGAGGAGCUCCUGGCUGAGGCGACCAGACAAGCCAGCAAUCACUCUGAGAAACAGAAGAUCCGGAAACCCCGGCCUCAGAGGGAACGUGCCCAGUGGGAUAUCGGCAUUGCCCAUGCAGAGAAAGCGCUGAAAAUGACCCGGGAGGAGAGGAUAGAACAGUAUACUUUCAUCUAUAUUGACAAACAGCCUGAGGAGGCUUUGUCCCAAGCAAAAAAGAAUGUUGCCUCCAAAGCUGACGUUAAAAAAAUCCGAAGACCAAGAUCCGUGCUGAAUACUCAGCCAGAACAGACCAAUGCAGGGGAGGUGGCCUCCUCACUAUCAAGUACUGAAAUUCGGAGACAAAGCCAGAGGCGGCACACGAGCGUGGAAGAGGAGGAACCACCUCCUGUUAAAAUAGCCUGGAAGACGGCAGCAGCAAGGAAGUCCUUACCAGCUUCCAUUACGAUGCACAAAGGGAGCCUGGAUUUGCAGAAGUGUAACAUGUCACCAGUUGUGAAAAUUGAACAAGUGUUUGCUCUUCAGAAUGCUACCGGAGAUGGGAAAUUUAUUGAUCAAUUUGUUUAUUCAACGAAGGGAAUUGGUAACAAAACGGAGAUAAGUGUCAGGGGACAAGACAGACUUAUAAUUUCUACACCAAACCAGAGAAAUGAAAAGGCAACUCAGAAUAUGUCAUCUCCUGAAGCAACAUCUGGUCCUACAGGCUCAGUAGAAAAGAAGCAACAGAGAAGAUCAAUUAGAACUCGUUCUGAAUCAGAGAAAUCCACUGAGGUUGUGCCAAAGAAGAAGAUCAAAAAGGAGCAGGUUGAAACAGUUCCUCAGGCUACGGUGAAGACUGGAUUACAAAAAGGGUCGGCGGACCGGGGAGUGCAGGGCUCUGUCAGAUUCAGUGACAGCUCCGUCUCCGCAGCGAUUGAGGAAACUGUGGACUGAGAUUCCUGUACAAUUUCAUCCCAGAAACUCCAGACUUGGAGUCUCCAUGCAAGAUUUCUUUGUCGGCGGCUUGCUAAACAGUCUCUUUGUUUUCAAUUUUGAUUUUGCCAAUCAUCAUGGCAUAUUCCUGCCUGGUUUCUUCUUCAAGACUCUGAACAAUUGCUUUAACAUUCAGAUGAUUUUUUUUUCCGGUCUGAGCUGGAUGGGUACAGCUUAAAUCAUGGGUCCAGCCUAAAAACCACCGUUUAACUUAGACUGAUCAAUUUCAACAUGGACUGUUUUUGGUUUUUUUUGGUUUUUGUUUUUAAAUAAAGCAUCAUUAAUGCACAUCUGCAGGGUUUUGCCAAACAGCCCAAACUGUAUACAUUACAAUCAUUAAAAGCUCUUAUUUUUUUUUAACGUUAGUGCCGUUAUCAUGGAGAACAGCGUGGCAGCUGCCUCUGGCAGUCUGUCCUUUUUCUAGCAUUUUCAGAAACUCAUCGGAAAUGGCAGUACCUGUGUUUCCCUUCGAAAGCCUCUCAGUACAGCACUCCUGUUCCUCUGUUAAAACUCCUUGUUAAUCCAGUGAUCUUUUAGGCCAAGGAAAUAUUUUGUGGUGGUGUUCUGGGUCCAUACACCAGCAAUGAAGGAGAUAGAUUUGUGUACUUGUGUUUUUUAAUCAGCGUUCACACGGGCAGGCACCCUCAUUGAUAGAUGUAAGGCAACAUUCAUUGACAACCUUGUAGGAUGGGAUGUGAUAACGAGGUUCCAGUAAUCUGAGCAGUCUAACGAGGCCCACAUCCUCCACCACAGAGCAUGGCCACACACCAAGUGCUGCUCCCACUCGGCCUUUGCGGAUCUUCAUGGCCUCGGGAGACCUGUUCCUCCAGGGUCUCUUCUGGACUGCACACUUCCACCAUAGCUUGCUGGGCUGGUCUAGAUGUCUGUUUGUUGUAUGGAAAUUUUGGGGGAAAACAAAAAUCCAAAACACAAACUGUGGGUUGAAAUGUUAACGUCUCCUUGGUUCCUUGGUACUCACCGUGCCUGAUCUGCACACUUCAUCGUGGCUGUUUCUGUAUAGCCUAUACUGCAUUAGCCCAAGAGAUUGUUGCUUUGUAACUUUUUGCACUAUUGUUUUGGCUGGAUUUGUAUUACACACAGUUUUAAAAAAAAAAAAAAAUUCCACACUAUUCUCUGCCUUUUUUUUUUUUUUUUUUUUUUUUCAUAUUUAUUUCUUCCCGCACCAGUUCCACAUAGAGGCCUCUCAUCCAGCUCUUCAUGACUUGGCUGCACUUGAACAUUGAUUGUCUGUUUACAGCCCUCAGCACUGUGCCUCCUAGAUGGCAUGACAUAGGUAGCUGUCUGCAGCACUUGUAACGGUCACCAUAAUGCCCUUCACCGAGGAAGGCUCAGAUGAACAAUUAUGAACAUCCAGGAUUUAUUUGGGGGGUGAUAAUCAACUGAAUUGCAAAAUUUGGGGGAAAAUGGCACUAUCCGUGUACGAAUCGAAUACAAAUCAAAGAUUUGUCACAUCCCUAAUAAAAACAAGAUGGAGGUGUCUCUGCGACCAUAUUUGUAAGCUACACAUUGUGUCGGGUUUUAUGUCUCCCCCUCCAAAUUGAAUGGUUCUUUGGAUUGCUCCAAAUCGAUCCACUGUCCUGCACUUUUGCUAGAAUUGUUUUUUAGGUUGGAACUUGGGCUCUGCUGCCCGAAAAUAGCUUUAGAGCAGGAGCACUGAAUUAAAUGUUUUACAAGAGCGGUUAUAAAUUAAAUCACUCACCAUCAGGAAGGUCAGAAGCUCAUGAAGUUUUGACUCCUGACUUCAGUGUUACAAAGAGAGCUGUGCGUUUUUUUACACUACAGAUGAGUUUGGGGAAAGAAAAUAUUCUCCCACAAAAAAAAAAAACUAAAACAACAAACUCUAAGCACUAUUUUAGGAUUAAUUUCGGUGUGUUGUAUUAAGGUGCCAGCGAGAUUUCAGAUUCCUGUAAACCACUAAAGAAAAGAAGCCGCGCCUCAACUGAUGUAGAAAUGGCUAGUUCAGCAUACAGAGACACGUCUGACUCCGAUUCCAGAGGCCUGAGCGACCUGCAGGUAGGCUUUGGGAAGCAAGUAGAUAGCCCUUCAGCCACUGCAGAUGCAGACGUUUCUGACGUGCAGUCCAUAGAUUCAAGUUUGUCAAGAAGAGGCAUCGGAACGUGUAAGAAGGACACUGUGUGUCAGAUCUGUGAAAGCCCCAGCGACUCUCUGAUUCCCUGUGAGGGAGAGUGCUGCAAACACUUCCACCUGGAGUGCCUGGGAUUGACAUCACUCCCUGAUGGAAAGUUCGUCUGCGUCGAAUGUAAAACUGGACAGCACCCAUGUUUUUCAUGUAAAGUGUCUGGCACAGAUGUGAAGCGUUGCUCUGUUGGUGCUUGUGGGAAAUUUUACCAUGAAGCCUGUGUCCGCAAAUUCCCCACUGCCAUCUUUGAAUCAAAAGGAUUCCGCUGUCCCCAGCACUGCUGCUCUGCCUGCUCUAUGGAGAAAGAUAUCCACAAAGCAAGUAAAGGUCGCAUGAUGAGAUGUUUGAGGUGUCCAGUAGCGUAUCACUCUGGAGAUGCCUGCAUUGCUGCCGGCAGCAUAUUUGUGUCUUCCUGCAUUCUCAUCUGUAGUAAUCAUUCCAAACGGAGCAGUAACUCUUCCUCUGCUGUAAAUGUAGGCUUUUGUUUCGUUUGUGCAAGAGGGCUGAUAGUUCAGGACCAUUCAGACCCCAUGUUCAGUUCCUAUGCCUAUAAGUCCCACUACCUACUGAAUGAAUCAAACCGUGCAGAGUUGAUGAAAUUACCUAUGAUUCCUUCUUCGUCAGCUUCCAAAAAGAAAUGUGAGAAAGGUGGAAGACUGCUCUGCUGUGAGUCAUGUCCCGCUUCCUUCCACCCGGAGUGCCUGAGCAUAGAGAUGCCAGAAGGCUGCUGGAACUGCAAUGACUGUAAAGCUGGCAAGAAACUGCAUUACAAGCAGAUUGUCUGGGUCAAAUUGGGGAAUUACAGGUGGUGGCCGGCAGAGAUCUGCAACCCCCGUUCUGUGCCGCUCAACAUCCAGGGCCUCAAGCACGACCUGGGGGACUUCCCAGUGUUCUUCUUUGGGUCUCACGACUACUACUGGGUGCAUCAGGGACGAGUAUUCCCUUACGUCGAAGGAGACAAAAGCUUUGCUGAGGGACAGACUAGUAUUAACAAGACCUUCAAAAAAGCACUGGAAGAAGCUGCAAAACGUUUCCAGGAAUUGAAAGCACAAAGAGAAAGUAAAGAAGCACUUGAGACUGAAAAAAACUCAAGAAAACCCCCUCCUUACAAACACAUCAAAGCUAACAAGGUAAUAGGAAAAGUACAGAUCCAGGUUGCAGACCUGUCGGAGAUUCCCCGCUGUAACUGCAAGCCCGCCGACGAGAACCCCUGCGGCUUGGAGUCUGAGUGCCUGAACAGAAUGCUGCAGUACGAGUGUCACCCGCAGGUGUGCCCGGCGGGGGAGCGCUGCCAGAACCAGUGCUUCACCAAGAGGCUCUACCCUGAUGCCGAGAUCAUCAAGACAGAGCGCAGAGGCUGGGGCCUCAGGACCAAAAGGAGCAUUAAGAAGGGUGAAUUUGUAAAUGAAUAUGUCGGUGAAUUAAUUGAUGAAGAAGAAUGCAGAUUGCGAAUCAAGCGAGCCCACGAGAACAGUGUAACUAAUUUUUAUAUGUUAACUGUUACCAAGGUAAAAUUGCUUUUUUGUUUUUGGUAAGAAAAAAGGAUUUUUUGGUUUAGUUCCAUGGCUUUAGGUUGAACUCGGUUUCCUUCCUCUAAUUUGAUUUUUUUUCAGGCAAAUUAGAUUGGUUUGCAAUAGCCAGUACGCUACCCAUUAUAACACACUCAUCAUAGCAGAGUAUACAAGUGAAUGAUUAUUGGAACGUUGCCCAGGUCCUGUGUGACAGCACUGUGAGUGAGAAUAGGAACAGCCAGGAACAGGGUUAACACACUUGGAUUUUAGUCCCAGCUCUUAGACUCUGAAAGACCUGGCCCUCAGUUUCUUUAUCCCCCACGGAGAGGGUCAGCUCUGUAGUCUCACUUAUAAACCACCAUUAAAGUUCUACUCUAGCAAAAGUCCUAACGUGAAAUUGUUCUGUAUAUCUAAACUUUUUUUAUGAGUUAGAAGGAAUGAACGCUGUCAUAAGAAAACGACAGUAAAGCUUCUGGAUUAAUACGUGCAACUGUAAGUGCUGCUGGAUGCAUGUUAUAGCAAAACUGUGUCAUUUGAUUUCUUCAACAGUCCUCUGAUUCACAGAGGACAGGAAACUGAGGUCCAGCCGUCCUAAGUGAUUUGUUGACUGUAUUGGGACAGUUUAAUGCAGAGUGAAGACUAGUACCCAUGUUUCCUGUGCUCCAUCCGGGCUGUCUCUAAAACUGAGUCAGAGUAUCAUUAAAAUUAAGAGUUGGAGACCAUUUAAAAAAAGCAUUAUUUUAACUGAUAUGUCAUUGUUUGAAAGCUUUACAACUUCAUGAACAUAUACUUUAUAAACAUAAAAUGCGUGUAUUUAUGACUGCUGAUCGGUCCCUUAAGUCUUGUCCUCACUGCCAGUGGCCCUUCCAGCCAUCGUGACAACCCUGGGGAGGCUCCAUCCUCUAGAGCUUUUCCAGAUUAUCAGAGUUUAAACUCAAGGAGCCAAAAUGUUGAGCUUUUUACUGUAUUUUGAACUUUAGUGUAAGUAAAAUUAUAUCCCAAAUUGUAGUCCUCCCAUCCAUCAAAUUUCCCAGUCUUCAUCAGAGGAGAAGUUUCUCCUUUCUCCUGCCCCCUUUAGGGCCUCAGCUCCACCCAUCCACCCCUGCCAGCCUUGAGUCUGUUCAGACCUGGGAAGCAAAACCCAUAGUUUCCAUCAUAGGAGCACUGUGCACAGAAAAUACCUUUCCUUGAGGCUGGGCCAGCUCAUCUUCCGAGUAGCAUUGUUCUGAGGUCUGUUUGUUCCUAGAAACAAGGUUUAAAAGAUGCUACAUUUCACUUUAUGUUAACUGCCUUGACUCGAUCAUCAAGCAGAGAACUUAAGUCAAUUGUGGGCAAGCACAUUUGCAGAGUCAUCAGUGGUCAGACAUCAGCGGGGGGCAAACGGUGGUGCCUCGUGGCUCUUGCCUGAGUCGGAUGUUUCUCAGAAGCAUAUGCUCCAUUUUAUGUCAAAGGAACUUUUCCACUCUUUUCUUUCUCAAGGACCGUAUCAUUGAUGCUGGCCCAAAGGGAAAUUAUUCUCGCUUUAUGAACCACAGUUGUAACCCAAACUGUGAAACACAAAAGUGGACAGUGAAUGGCGAUGUUCGAGUUGGACUUUUUGCUCUUUGUGACAUUCCUGCAGGGAUGGAGUUAACAUUUAAUUACAACCUGGACUGUCUGGGCAAUGGCAGGACGGAGUGCCACUGCGGGGCUGAGAACUGCAGUGGUUUCCUCGGUGUUCGGCCGAAGUCGGCAUGUGCAUCAACAACUGAAGAAAAGGCAAAAAAUGCUAAGUUAAAGCAGAAGAGACGGAAAGUCAAAACAGAGCCCAAGCAGCUGCACGAAGAUUACUGUUUCCAGUGUGGAGACGGUGGAGAGCUGGUCAUGUGCGACAGGAAGGACUGCCCCAAAGCCUACCACCUCCUCUGCCUUAACCUCCCUCAGCCGCCCUACGGAAAGUGGGAGUGCCCGUGGCACCAGUGCGACGAGUGCAGCAGCGCAGCUGUCUCCUUCUGCGAGUUCUGCCCGCGCUCAUUCUGUAAAGAUCACGACAAGGGGGCGCUGGUGCCCUCGGCACUGGAAGGCCGACUCUGCUGCUCUGAACAUGACCCUGUGUCUCCCGUGUCGCCGGAGUACUGGAGCAAGAUCAAGUGUAAACUGGAAUCGCAAGAUCCCGGAGAAGACGUCAAAGAAUAGAUGGCUGGUGAUCCUCCUUUUUUUUCUUUUUCUUUAAGUGAAAAAAGGAAAAGAAAAAAGUAAGUAGAUGAUGCGUCAGUGCAAGAAGAGACUGCGAAGCGCACACAGCCCCUGUGGCCGCGCUGCCUGAUUAAAGCGAAACUGGGGGACCAGUUGGUGCAGACAGAGGCCGUUGGCGGUGUCUGGCUUUCCAGUUCUGUUCUGUUGGUUUGGGGGAUUCUUUUGUGGUGGGUUAGAUGCCCGUGGUCUUUUCUUGCCUUUUAUUGUGCUUCAAUGCCUUUGCAGCUAGAAAAAAGAGAUGUCUUGGCUUUUGAAAUAAGAACAAAGAGAAAAGAAAGUUUUGUUAAUGAGAUAAAUCUAAAGUCUAGGAUGUAUUCCUUGGGUGUAAAAGGCAAAAGUAGCCAUCAUUCCUUUAUUUAUUUUCAUUGUUUAAAAUUUUGAGAAGUACAGUUCAGAGUCUAAUCAGUGUGAGCACACGUGUGUGUGUGUGUGUGUGUGUGUGUGUUUGCAGUAGGAACUGGAGAAUGCCCUCUAGGAAAGGGUAUGACGCUCUCCUCUGCCUCUUUCCUGAGCAGCAGGCAGGCGAGCUUCUCUCUCCCUUCCAAGUGUCUUUCUCAGUCUCAGAGAAGGGCUCGUGGGAGCUUGGAGUCUGGCCUCUGAGAACAAAAGGCCUUGGUGGAUGUUCCCUCCAUGGUCUUAAACCAGGUGGGCUUUGUGAUAGGAUAACUUUACCUUGAAAGGUAUAUAAUGUGGUUUUGUUUUUUCGUUUGUUUGUUUUGGAGAAAACAAAAGAAAUGGAUGCCCUCACUGAGUUUGAAAUGCUUUCCCAUCGAUGAUGGCUAUUAUUGAUGAAGUGUGUUUAUGUGGAUAUGAAUGCAUAGUUAGAAUGGUCAUUCCUGUUAUUUUGACACACUGGUAAGGGCAGCUAAAGGGAGACAAAAGGCAUAGACCAAAAGUUGCAUCAAAUAAGCACCAUUUUCUAUCGAAUUUAACGUAGACCCUGGUCUGACUCGAGAGAAUUAUGGGCAUUUUAUUUUCUGUCUCUGCUUUCCUCUCCCAAUCAAACAUUCCUUUUGUCAGCUGACCACUCAGCCAUGUUUCAUGGUGAAAACUACACAAAUGAAUUUGAAUUAUAUUUGAAUAGAUUUUUAGUUCCUAAUUUGGGGGGGAAUAUCCCCAAGUUGUAUGUAAGCAGUUUCUAUUUAGUUUUACCCAGCACUUAAAAUUGCCCCCUUUGAGGAAGGGGAAGCACUUCUACUGGGACAGGGCAUGGGAGAGCCACACUUCAUGGCAGCAGCACUUCGGGAAAGCUCCCCAGAAAGCAGAACCGGUUGGAUGGCACAGGGGCGAGAGGACCAAGAUGCCUGCCCACAGGGCUCACUUGUUUUCAGUGCUUAGGAGCGUGUAGAUUCCAGAGUUCCCCGUGUAAACUCAUUAGUGGUGUCUGGUGUCGUUGUCACACUGUACUAAGUAGCAGCCUAGGGUUAGCUUGGUGAAUGUUAAUUUUCUCUGUGAAUUUUGACUGCUUACAGCCGCUGGUACCUGGUAGCAUUUAUUUUCCCUCAGGAAGAACCCAGUAACCACAUAAAGGUCGGGAAGAUAGAUGCCCCACCACAUUCCCUGUGUCACGUGUGCUCCCUUUUCUUACCAAUUUAGAGCUCUUUUCUGGAAAAAGGGGGAAAAAAUCUGUUUUGUGCCUCUUCUUCUUUUUUUAAUUUGUAUGUAUGUAAAUGUGCAAUUAUACUGGAUUCUUUUUCUUGUUAAAAAAAAAAAAAAAACAAAACAUACAAAAAAAAAAAAAAAAAACAGCAACAACAAAACACUACAAUUCCUUUACUUAAAGCUCCUAAACUGCCAUUUGCCUGAUUCCAGCAAAUAAUUCUGAGGUAACUUACUGGACCUCCAAUGAGUCUAUUGAUUAGAUAUGGUACCAAAAGAAAGGGCAAAAUAGAAAAUGCUAGUAUGCCUGUUACCAAACGUGACUGCCGCAAGCUCACCAAAACACUAAACUUUGCUCUUGAGCAAUUACAUAGUUUCAAGUCCUUUUAAAAAAUAAUUUAAGAAAUUCUAGGUUUUAUCAUACUAAAAAUUUAUUUUAUAUAUGUAUAUGAUAAAUGUUUGCUUUUUUAAACUUACUAACAUGAAGGAUUUCCUUUAAUAUUUGAACUGCAACUCUUGUUGAAACAGUAUCCAACAUGAAAUCUUAUCUCUUGCUUUGUUUUGGACUUAGUGCUAUUUAAUAUCUGAUGACUUUUAUAUGGUAAGCCAGGGUAUAUCCUCUAGACUACAGAUACCUUAGGUUUAAGUACUUUGAUGCAGCUUCUUCAUUGUGUCACAUUUUGUUUUUAUAUCUGUCACAGAGCUCUGCUGAGAUUUAAGAAAAAUUUUUUUGUGGGGGAAGGGGGGUAUUAGGAUUGUUCUGCCAAUUCAGAAAUCAGGGUGGAAAACAAAAUGUCUAACUGUAGCUCUGGAGUCUUUGUCUGUGAGUGCUCUUUAAUGGUCUGGAAAGGGGGUCAUGGCCAUGCCUGGGCCAAGGAGCUCUCCUCACACCUCCGUGGUGUCACUGUGGACCUAGUUUGUGUGUUUUAAAGCUUCAGGUAUGGCAGCAGAGAAGCAGUGAGCUGUGCUUUCCGCGUGCAUAGUACCUAUGCAGCAUGCUUGCCGGUGCUCCUCCGAUGAAACCCUGCAGAGGUCCUGGCGCUCACUCGUAGUCUGAGGUGAUUUGUUAACUUGAAUCUGUAUGGGGUCAGAGCAUAAAUGGUUGGUUUUUAUGGUGUCUGAAAAUGAAAUAACUGAAAGAAGCAUGGGAUAAUGGUGUUGGGUUUUGUUUUUUAUGUUGAUUCUUAGGGGGCGAAAAGCAGAUGUAAAAUGUUUGAUAAUCAGCUCAAGAAAUUAGAUCUGUAAGAGCUAAAGGUGAAAUCCUAGGAGACCUCCGGGCCCUGGUGGUGGGAGGGUGGUUUGGAGUUGCCCGGCUGGCUGAGGGGCCGGUGGCCCUUCAGUCCUGGAAGCCGAAGCCCGAGGAAGCCCAUCACUUCCUGAAUAGCUAAGCAGGGCUGGAGGGAGGAAUGAGGUGGGUUUUAUUUUCAUUUUUCUUUUAUCAAGUUCCCACCCUAUCCUAGCUCUGGCCUAAGCUAGAAAACAGGCUGACUCUGAGAAUCAUUGAAACUUGGAGAUUUCUGUGUGUUCAAGUCAGGAACACAUCUAAAAGCAAAACAAAAAAAAAGGUGGGGAGCAGGAGGCUGCUCCCAGCUCCCUGCAGCCAUUUCCACAGAGUGUUGGAAAUGCCUGUGAGUGGCGGGGUGCAACUGAGAUGAUUGCCAGAAGGACCCAGACAGGCGGGGCUGUCAGACAGCCUUCUUUCCUGGUUUGGGAAGUGGACUUUCCUCCUUGAGUAGCUCCAGUCAGGGUCAGAUCCGGGUCUGCAGUUUGGAAACGGGCCAGCUGGGUGGGACACGGUCUCGGGACCACGGGGGACUUGUUGUUUGUCCUUCGUCGCAUUUUAAACAUAAAGCUCUUUAUAGCAGUCACCUUACAGUCAAGGUGCUGCCGCAUGCCUUGUCCUGCCAGGAUGAGAGCCAGUCACCACGGAGUCCUUACAGCUGGGACAGCUCACAUCUGUGAGGUACAGUGACACGGGGGAGUUGCUGUAUCGUUGGGCGGUGUGAAUUAGACUUGAAUGACUUCCUAAAAGGCUGAUCUGUCUAGGCCGCUAGUUGUCCCGGCUGCCGCAGAUGUGAUCAUUUGCUUUGGCCUUGGGCCACCUUGAAUCCGUCUUGGGUUAUUUGUAAACAAGGAGUAGAACUCACUUCAUUUUCAGACAGGCUCGGGAAGAGAUGUAAUUAGACAGCUUUGCCAUGAAUUGACAAAUACGGAAGAGUUGGAAAUUGUAUAUACUGAAGUCUACCAGCUCUUAUCUGGGGUGGGGUUCAGGGAGAAGGGGGGUUAUGCGGGGGGGAGGGGGGGGCGGGGGGGAAUGAUGAUGUUUACCACAGGUACGAAGUCGUCACUUUAACAUUGAGACCUCUGCCUCAUUGAAUUCAGGUUUUUUAAGUACUUGAAACUCCUCAGAUUCUCCUUAUUUUACAGUUCUUUUAAAACUUAUGAAGUAGCGAGCAUUGUUUGUAUCCUGUUUUGUCUCUUACCCCCUCUGGCGUGGGUGAAAGGGGAGCCCCGCAGGCGGCUCACAGCACGGCCGGAUUCAGUGCACAUGCUUGGGGAAGAGGCUCCUGCAUGAAAUACCAGCAGCACUUACACAAGGAUUCCCUGUGUCUGUUCUUUCUUUUGUCAUUUUGUCAACCCUAUCCCCAAGCACCUUUUCUUUCCUUUUCAUUAUACGCCUGUGUAGGGAAAAAAACAGAAAUUUGCACUUAAUGUUACACUCCUGAAAUGCUGGGUGUGUGUAGCCUGUGUGUUUCAAGCCUAUUUCCGUUCUUUCCUCUUUCAGUCCAUUGCUUAAGUGACAAGUUCAGAUGCUUGUGGCACUUAAUGUAUGAAGGGGAGAGGAAGAGAAUUACCUUCCUUUGGUAGCCUCUCCAAGUCAUUAACAUGUAAGAAAAAAAGGGAAAAGAUGAAUAGUUGCCAAAGUCAUUUCUUCGGUCCUUAGUUUGCCUGUGUGGCAUCAGUGCAUCUGCUCAUUGGCCAGAAAGCGCCCUGGGGCCCGAGCUCCUAUCCCGACCUCCACAGAGCUCCGCUGUGUGCGGGUGGCUCUCCGUAUCCAGCAGAUUACCUCGGUGAGGGAUUUAUGUGGUAUCCUUGACAGUUUAGAAGUGGACUGGAUAAAAUUCACUUUUACUUUGUUGUCACUAAUACUGCUCUUUAUCUCAUUGUGCUGUCACAUACCCUUUGUCAAAAAAGAAAAUCACAUUGCCACCAAUAACCACGAUGCUAAGUGAAGAUUAUAACUGGCUAAUAAGGUUCUUUUUAUAUACAAGGGUGUGUGCAAAAUUGGAAUUGAUAUGAGAAAUUCAUUUGUAUCCACUUGUGAUAUUGCACAACAAACACAGAUACCUACAGAUUCUGUUUUCAUUUCCUCGUGAUCUUUAUCUAUAAUGACCUUUGUAGAUUGGUUAUUUCUGUACUUUAUCUGUAAUAAACUUUGUAGAUCCUGUGAAAUGUUAUUUUGCCUAAAUCACUUGAGACUUGAGUCUUUAAUAACAAAGCAUCAAUAUUCACUAAAGUCAAUCUCUUUUGAGUUUCUGUGACUUGGCUAGAAGCUCCUGACACUAAGGGAUUGGUGUUCAUUCUCCCUGGGGGGUUCACUAGGGCAUUACUGUAUAAUGACUUGAUGUUGCCACAUAGACUUCAAGAUAUAUGAUAUUUUGGGGAUUUUGUUGAUUGGCCUAUGUUUUAUUGCAUAGUGUGAAAUGUGUAAAGCUUGGUUAACCUGUAUAUAGAUAGCUUAUUGUUGACCAGUUAUAGUAUAUUUAGGAUUGCUUGUAAUAUUUAAGCUUCUUACUACUGUGCGUGCUGGUAGGAACAUAUAAUUUUUGUAUAUUUACUGAGAUGUUGCCCUUUUUUAUUUUACAAAUACUUUGGAAUUCAAAUGUGUUUUUUGCUUCCGUGAGGAUUAAUUUGGAAAGGUUUUUAAUGACAUUCCACUGAUUUCAGAUUUUGCUUGGAGACCGACUUAAAUAAAUUGUCCUGUAUGUUCCAAAUUAAA